rnacentral:rRNA from 1 species
UACGUAGGGGGCUAGCGUUGUCCGGAAUCAUUGGGCGUAAAGAGCGUGUAGGCGGCCACGCAGGUCCGUUGUGAAAACUGGAGGCUCAACCUCCAGACGUCGAUGGAAACCGUCUGGCUAGAGUCCGGAAGAGGAGAGUGGAAGUUCCUGGUGUAGCGGUGAAAUGCGCAGAUAUCGUAAGGAAGACCAGUGGCGAAGGCGGGUCUCUGGACAGUUCCUGACGCUGAGGCACGAAGGUCAGGG